rnacentral:rRNA from 1 species
AUACGGAGGGUGCGAGCGUUAAUCGGAAUUACUGGGCGUAAAGCGUACGUAGGCGGUUGGUUAAGUUAGAUGGGAAAGCCCCGGGCUUAACCUGGGAACUGCAUUUAAAACUGGCGAACUAGAGUUGAGUAGAGGGGAGUGGAAUUUCAGGUGUAGCGGUGAAAUGCGUAGAGAUCUGAAGGAACACCAGUGGCGAAGGCGACUCCCUGGACUCGAACUGACGCUGAGGUACGAAAGCGUGGGUAGCAAACGGGAUUAGAAACCCUAGUAGUCC